rnacentral:rRNA from 1 species
UACGUAGGGUGCGAGCGUUAAUCGGAAUCACUGGGCUUAAAGGGUGCGUAGGCGGCUGCCUAAGUCAGGUGUGAAAUCUCUCGGCUCAACCGGGAAACUGCGCUUGAUACUGGGCGGCUCGAGUGAGGUAGGGGUGUGUGGAACUUCCGGUGGAGCGGUGAAAUGUGUAGAUAUCGGAAGGAACGCCAGCAGCGAAAGCGGCACACUGGGCCUUUUCUGACGCUGAGGCACGAAAGCCAGGGGAGCGAACGGG